UUUCCGUAGGUGAACCUGCGGAAGGAUCAUUAUUGGAUUUUGAAACUUCAGGCUGCUGCUGGCUCUCCUCGGAGGGCAUGUGCACGCUUGUUGUCCAUUAUUUCUCCCACUGUGCACAAAUUGUAGACCUUUCAGUAGGCCUAUGUUGUUUUUCACAAUCUCUGAAUGUAAUAGAAUGGUUUUUGAAUCUUGGGAAAUACAAUACAACUUUCAGCAACGGAUCUCUUGGCUCUC
rnacentral:misc_RNA from 1 species